UUAGUACUCCCUUCGUCUGGAAAUACUUGUCAUAGAAAUGGAUGUAUCUAGAUGUAUUUUAAUUAUAGAUACAUCCAUUUUUAUAUAUUUAUGCGACAGGUAAUUCCGGACGGAGGGAGUACAAU
rnacentral:pre_miRNA from 1 species